rnacentral:rRNA from 1 species
CCAGCCACCGCGGUUACACGAUUAACCCAAGCUAAUAGAGAUCGGCGUAGAGGGUGUUUAAGAUCUAACAUAAUAAAGCUAAACUCCACCUAAACUGUAAAACCCUAGCUAAUGUAAAAUAAACUACGAAAGUGGCUUUAAAGCUUCUGAACACACAAUAGCCAAGACCCAAACUGGGAUUAGACACCCCACUAUGCUUGGCCCUAAACCUCAGUAGUUAGAUAACAAAACUACUCGCCAGAAUACUACAAGCAACAGCUUAAAACUCAAAGGACUUGACGGUGCUUUACAUCCCCCUAGAGGAGCCUGUUCCGUAAUCGAUAAACCCCGAUCCACCCUACCCUCUCUUGCUCAGCCUAUAUACCGCCAUCUUCAGCAAACCCUAAUGAAGGCCACAAAGUGAGCGCAAACGCCGUCGCCGCAAAUACGUUAGGUC